rnacentral:rRNA from 1 species
UUUUCGGCAAUGGGGGAAACCCUGACCGAGCAAUGCCGCGUGAAUGAUGAAAUUCUUCGGAAUGUAAAAUUCUGUUGUGAGGGAAGAAAGGUAGUAUCAGGAAAUGGGUAUUACUUGACGGUACCUUACUAGAAAGCCCCGGCUAACUAUGUGCCAGCAGCCGCGGUAAUACAUAGGGGGCGAGCGUUAUCCGGAAUUAUUGGGCGUAAAGCGUGCGUAGGCGGCCGUUUAAGUCUGUCGUGAAAGCCCACAGCUUAACUGUGGAGGGUCGAUGGAAACUGGAUGGCUUGAAUCUAGAAGAGGUAAGUGGAAUUCCAUGUGUAGCGGUAAAAUGCUUAGAUAUAUGGAGGAACACCAGUGGCGAAGGCGGCUUACUGGUCUAGCAUUGACGCUGAGGCACGAAAGCGUAGGUAGCAAACAGGAUUAGAUACCCUGGUAGUCUACGCUGUAAACGAUGAGCACUAAGUGUCGGACGUAAGUUCGGUGCUGUAGUUAACGCAUUAAGUGCUCCGCCUGGGGAGUACGGUCGCAAGACUGAAACUCAAAGGAAUUGACGGGGACUCGCACAAGCGGUGGAGCAUGUGGUUUAAUUCGACGCAACGCGAAAAACCUUACCAGGCCUUGACAUCCCUAUGACCGCUCUAGAGAUAGAGUUUCCUCUUCGGAGGUAUAGGUGACAGGUGGUGCAUGGUUGUCGUCAGCUCGUGUCGUGAGAUGUUGGGUUAAGUCCCGCAACGAGCGCAACCCUUAUCAUUAGUUGCUAACAUUAAGUUGAGCACUCUAAUGAGACUGCCAGCGACAAGUUGGAGGAAGGUGGGGAUGACGUCAAAUCAUCAUGCCCCUUAUGGCCUGGGCUACACACGUGCUACAAUGGCCGGUACAAAGAGCAGCGAAAUUGUGAAAUGGAGCAAAUCUCAAAAAGCCGGUCUCAGUUCGGAUUGUAGUCUGCAACUCGACUACAUGAAGUUGGAAUCGCUAGUAAUCGUGGAUCAGCAUGCCACGGUGAAUACGUUCUCGAGUCUUGUACACACCGCCCGUCACACCAUGAGAGUUUGUAAUACCCGAAGCCGGUGGCUUAACCGCAAGGAGAGAGCCGUCUAAGGUAGGACAGAUGAUUGGGGUGAAGUCGUAACAAGGUAUCCCUACGAGAACGUGGGGAUG